AAAUUUGAAUUUUUUUUUAUUGAUUUUGGUAGAUAUUCAUUAGGUCAGGUUUGAUCAACUGUUUUUUUCGUUAGAUCUAUCACGCAAGAGGCAGUAUUCACUACUUAACUUUGUGGGCGUGACUACGGGUUAGCCCCCCCUCAAGUGAAAUGUGAUUUUUUUUUUUAUUGAUUUUGGUAGAUAUUCAUUAGAUCAGGCUUGAUCAACUGUUUUUUUCGUUAG